UCCAAAACCACACAGCCCUGCCUAAACAACGGCUGUUAAAUAGGCCUCUUCUAAACAAAGGAAAGUGUGUUUACCUCAGUUUCCAUAAAAGUAGUAAAUAGGGUUCUCGAGACAGCAGAGGGAGGAAAUGGCAGGGGACCAAGCAAAUUUGCAUUUCAGCAAACCCAGGUGGGAAGAAAGAACAUGGAUCCUUUUUCACCAUCAGACUCCAUGUCAUUUUCUUUACUGUUUGCAUAAACUUUGCUUUGAAGGCUAAUCUUCAGAAGAAUCCAUUUCAAAGGUUCACUGGACUAAAAGAGAGAAGGGCAGAGAACCCCAAGUUCUUUCACCUGAGAAGACAAAAGCACCGGCACCUUUGGGCCUCUGGGAGAGAUCCUGAUCAAGUAGAGUCAGUCACCAUCUUGCUGGAAGACACUAGGAAAGGAAAAUAGAACAAAAGUAAAGCAUAAACAUGAGUGACAGUGAAGCAACUACAAAGUGAGAGCUGGUCAGGCUGGAGAAUGAGCAGAAAGAAAACAAAUGUGGACAUCAGAAAUGGUUAGCUAAGCAGAAAGUCGGAAAUAGAGAUGAGAGCCAAGGAGAAGGAGGCCGAAAGGAAGCAGCAUGUUGGCGGGCCAUGGAGCUGAAAGAGAUGGAAGCCCAAGAAAAAGAGAAGGAAAGACUGCCUGCCUGGAGCAUAAGGGACAGGCGGGGCAGAAUCCACCAUCCCCAGUUACUCCCUCCAUCCAAGGAACACCCAGCUGGGAUAAAUUGUGCCCUGCAUACAAGGAAACAGAGUGUACGGAAGCAUACCUCAUCAGUUUUGAAAGGCUAAGUGAACUGCAUAAAGUUCCAGAGGACAGGACAGUCCCCAUACUGAUUGCAAAACUCUUGAGUAAAGCUUUACAUGUAUUUAAUGAAAUGCAGACUGGAGAAGCUUUGAUAUAGCCUGAAUUUAAAAAAGCUGUUUGGCAAAGGAUUCAAAUUACCCCUAAGGUGUACAGGUUGAAAUUUAGAAAUCUCAGGAAAAGUGCUGGAAUGAGUCAUAGUGAGAGCCUAUAAAAUGUAUGACCUAAUGAGAAGUGCAAUAUGGCAUACAUCUUUAAAUUCUCUACAGGAAGUUGCCAUCCUUUGAUAAGAAACUUCUUCUUUUCUCUAUAAAUAGAUCUAAGUGCUGUGAUGCUAAGCAAAGUGCUGGUCCUGAGUUGAAUCUUUCACACUGGGAACUGGAGGCCUGGUAGUUCUGAGAGUGUCCAGGGGAUAAGGGGCUGGAUGCUGCAGGGAGCACUCUGAGGACUUGGGGGUUGGUGUGUGCCUAUUGCUACUGGUACACAGACAGCGAGAACUGAGGAGGCCUGAAGGUCGGUGCUUGUGUUGCCAGAGGUUGGUGGUUUCUGGGAGCUGUUUCACAGCAAGCACAGAUAAGACUUCCUUAAGCUAAGGGUCAGUGUGGAGAGGUGCAUCACAACCCUGGGUACCCCUGGGCAGCGUCUGUUCCAAAUCUACCCCUAAUUCCAUCCAUCAGCUCUAUUCAAUCCCUGGACAUGCACUUCCAGAGUUAUUUGGGAAGGGGAAAAAAGCAGAAUGAAAUAGGAAUUUUCAUGGGAUUACAAUGGCGCCCCCUUUGUCUGCCUCAAUGGUGAUGAAUACAUUAAUGGGGCCAACCGACAACUCUCCAACACCACCUACUAUAAUGAAUUCAAAGACAACCCCACACCACAGUUUACUCAAUUUAAGGAUAUCAUCAAAACCUUCCCCAGAUAAACAAGGGAAGCCAGACAGAUCCAUUAUAUCUGGCCAUGGCACUCUUACUGAAGCAAUAUCGGGACUCAGAAACUAUCCUCAAACCACUCCUCUCAGAAAGAGCCAGCUUCCUCUAGGAUACAACCUACUUCCUCAGCAAACUCCGCAACAUCAAUUACCUCCCUCGGAACACCAUCUUUGUCACCAUGGAUGUCACCUCCCUAUACCGCAACAUCCCUCACAAAGACAGCAUAGCUGCCUGUCUCAAAUAUUUACAAGACAAUGGACAACCCUCAGAUCUCCACCCCAAAUACAUUGCCAGACUCAUCCAUUUCAUCCUCACCCAUAACAAUUUUACAUUCAACAAACACUCUGUCCAAACCAUGGAAAUAGUCAAGGGUACUAUGAUGGCUCCCCAAUAUCCCAACCUCUUCGUGGCCACCUUUAAGAAUUUCUAGACAAAUGCACCAUGAAAUCAGUGAUAUACCUGAGAUACAUUGAUGAUAUUUUCAUCAUCUGGACAGAUGACUUCAACUCCCCCAUGGAUUUCCACCUCAACUUCAACAAUCACCGUCCUUCUAUUAAACUCUCUCUGGAACACUUCCACAGCAGCAUCCACUUCCUGGACACCAUGAAGAACUUCAACAAUGGAACCCUCCAGGCAACUAUAUACAAGAAACCCUCAGAUCAACAUCCCUACUUCAUAGCUAUAGUAACGACCUCAAACACACCAAGAAAUGUUAUCUACAGCCAGGCACUCAGAUACUACAGAAUAUGCUCUAAGGAGAAAAUCCAGGAAACACAUCUCAACACACUCAAAACUGCCUUCACCAAACAAGGACACUCCACCAGAGAAGUAGAUAGCAUCAUGGAACAGGCCACCCAAAUACCCUGAAAAAACCUGCUUCAAUACAGAAAUAAAACCCACUCUGUCUGCACACCACUAGUUGUCCGUACCAGCCCACACUGGAAUCCAUAUGGGAUAUCAUCAAACAGCUACAACCCAUACCUGGUGGGGACCCCAUCCUGAAAAAAAAUCUUUCCUGAACCCCCUCUUCUGGUCUUCAAACAACCCCCACAACCUCUCCAAGGUCAUCAUUAGAAGCAAGCUCCCCACAGACCAGGACACACCAACUCAAAGCAGCACCAGACCACACCAGAACAGCAGAUGCAAAACUUGCAGACAUGUCUCCACUUGUAUGAUGAUCAAUACCCCCCACACGACACCUUUCAAGAUCUGUGGGUCCUACACUUACCUAUCACAACAUAUGGUGGUGUUCCUCAUACAGUGCACUAAAUGCCCCAAUAGUAACUGUGUAUGAAACCAGACCAUCACUACACCCUCGAAUGAACGCCAAAAGGAAAACGAUAAAAGACAAAAACAUGAUAUCACCUGUGGGUGAACACUUUUCACAAAGCCAUCAAUCUAUAUCUGAUCUAUCUGUCCUCAUCCUCAAAAGAAACCUGCAGAACACUUCCAAAAGAUGAGCCUGGGAGUUUAAAUUCAUAACUUUGCUAGACACUAAAAAUCAUGGACUGCUUUCCCCCUGCACCACUUCCUUUCCUCCCCCUGUCUGGAGGGGUGUUAACAGGUCACGUCACCUGGUAUGGUCCCUUGAAGUAUGUGGUGUUUACUUAUGAUAAACAAUCAGUUCAAAUCUUCUAUUUAGCAGUGAUACCUUGAGUUAGUUUCCCAGCCCUGAAGAAGAGCUCUGUGUAGCUCGAAAGCUUGUCUCUCUCACCGACAGAAGUUGGUCCAAUAGAAGAUAUUACCUCGCCUGCCUUGUGUCUCUAAUCUCCUGGGGCCAACAUAGCUGCAACAACACUGC